GCUGGGCUUGGUAGCGUGAGCCUGUAACCCAAGUGGGAGCAUUAAGAUGGUGGAAUAAAUGGGCUUACCUUGAAGGUUGGGCUUGGGGUGCUAUCUACCGGCUUGCCCGUUCCAAGUGGUGAGUCUGGCUGUGGAGUCUUUGCGAAGGCAGAGGCUUCUCAGCUCUCAGCUCUUAGAUUGGAGGGCACCGCGUGAGGCUGGUUUCACAGAGCAGCGAACACCUCCACCUCUCUGCAGUGGAAGGAUAACAGGUCGGAGAGUGCCUGAUUGGUUGUCCAAAUUAAACCACCAUCUUU
rnacentral:SRP_RNA from 1 species